CUCCAGCACUUUCCAAAGGAGGGUUUGCCUAAUUCCCUUUGCAUGCUACAGAUUAUGGGCUGUCCCUUGCUCAAAAAGAAGAUCCAAAGACAAAAUGGAAAAUAUUGGGCAAUUAUUUCUCAUAUCCCUUUUUGUAGCAUUGAUGAUGAUGGAGUAGCAUUUUAAGCGACCUUCUCACUCAUGAAGGCAUCAGUUUUCCCACUAAUGCUAUCCAUUCCGCAUUCACUCGUUAGAUACUCUUCAAAGGCUUCUUCAUUGAGAAUUCUAGCACUUUAAGGUGGGCUCAUUGCGAGAGCAGCAAGCCAGGCCGUUCUACUCAUAGUGAAAGGUGGGUUCUUCAUUCAACAGAAGAAUAUGUAGAGGACAUAAUUGCUCAAACUGGACUCAAGAAGCCAUCAGACACAACACUGAAAAAAGUGGCUAAUGAGCUUUUCCAAGAAUCUCAAAGCACAAGACUCGACAUAUCUC